AUGGAAGCUGGAUAGAGCAACGGCCUUCUAAGCCGUCGGUCGGGAGUUCGAAUCUCUCCUGGGACGUACCA
rnacentral:tRNA from 4 species